UCUCGAGUAGUAUAGUGGUGAGUAUCCCCGCCUGUCAAGUUCCUUUGGGACAUGGAACGCGGGAGACCGGGGUUCAAUUCCCCGCUCGAGAG